GACGAACGCUGGCGGCGUGCUUAACACAUGCAAGUCGAACGAAGAGCGAUGGAAGCUUGCUUCUAUCAAUCUUAGUGGCGAACGGGUGAGUAACGCGUAAUCAACCUGCCCUUCAGAGGGGGACAACAGUUGGAAACGACUGCUAAUACCGCAUACGAUCUAAUCUCGGCAUCGAGGAGAGAUGAAAGGUGGCCUCUACAUGUAAGCUAUCACUGAAGGAGGGGAUUGCGUCUGAUUAGCUAGUUGGAGGGGUAACGGCCCACCAAGGCGAUGCUCAGUAGCCGGUCUGGGAGGAUGGACGGCCACAUUGGGACCGAGACACGGCCCAGACCCCUACGGGAGGCAGCAGUGGGGAAUCUUCCGCAAUGGACGAAAGUCUGACGGAGCAACGCCGCGUGAGUGAUGACGGCCUUCGGGUUGUAAAGCUCUGUUAAUCGGGACGAAAGGCCUUCUUGCGAAUAGGGAGAAGGAUUGACGGUACCGGAAUAGAAAGCCACGGCUAACUACGUG
rnacentral:rRNA from 1 species